rnacentral:rRNA from 1 species
CCCUUAGAUGUUCUGGGCCGCACGCGCGCUACACUGAUGCCUUCAACGAGUCUAAAACCUGCUCUGAUAGGGGUGGGUAAUCUUUUGAAUGUGCAUCGUGAUUGGGAUAGAUGAUUGCAAUUUUUCAUCUUCAACGAGGAAUGCCUAGUAAACGCAAGUCAUCAGCUUGCAUUGAUUACGUCCCUGCCCUUUGUACACACCGCCCGUCGCUCCUACCGAUUGAAUGAUCCGAUGAAUAUCAUGGAUUGAGGAUGCAAGCAGGUUCGCCUGUCUUCAUCUUCGAGAAGUGAAGUAAAUCUUAUCAUUUAGAGGAAGGAGAAGUCGUAACA